ACACUUCAAAAUAGUCUGCUCCUGCACCAGGUGUAGCUCCCUGGAACUCGGCUGGAACACCUCUCAGGAACCCUGUAAGAUGAGCUUGGAUGUUCUCCACCGAGUCCCAGUGCUUUCCCUUCAACUCUCUCUUCAGUCGUGGGAACAUAAAUAGUCUGCUCCUGCACCAGGUGUAGCUCCCUGGAACUCGGCUGGAACACCUCUCAGGAACCCUGUAAGAUGAGCUUGGAUGUUCUCCACCGAGUCCCAGUGCUUUCCCUUCAACUCUCUCUUCAGUCGUGGGAACAUAAAUAGUCUGCUCCUGCACCAGGUGUAGCUCCCUGGAACUCGGCUGGAACACCUCUCAGGAACCCUGUAAGAUGAGCUUGGAUGUUCUCCACCGAGUCCCAGUGCUUUCCCUUCAACUCUCUCUUCAGUCGUGGGAACAUAAAUAGUCUGCUCCUGCACCAGGUGUAGCUCCCUGGAACUCGGCUGGAACACCUCUCAGGAACCCUGUAAGAUGAGCUUGGAUGUUCUCCACCGAGUCCCAGUGCUUUCCCUUCAACUCUCUCUUCAUUCGUGGGAACAUAAAUAGUCUGCUCCUGCACCAGGUGUAGCUCCCUGGAACUCGGCUGGAACACCUCUCAGGAACCCUGUAAGAUGAGCUUGGAUGUUCUCCACCGAGUCCCAGUGCUUUCCCUUCAACUCUCUCUUCAGUCGUGGGAACAUAAAUAGUCUGCUCCUGCACCAGGUGUAGCUCCCUGGAACUCGGCUGGAACACCUCUCAGGAACCCUGUAAGAUGAGCUUGGAUGUUCUCCACCGAGUCCCAGUGCUUUCCCUUCAACUCUCUCUUCAGUCGUGGGAACAUAAAUAGUCUGCUCCUGCACCAGGUGUAGCACCCUGGAACGUCUCUCAGGAACCCUGUAAGAUGAGCUUGGAUGUUCUCCACCGAGUCCCAGUGCUUUCCCUUCAACUCUCUCUUCAUUCGUGGGAACAUAAAUAGUCUGCUCCUGCACCAGGUGUAGCUCCCUGGAACUCGGCUGGAACACCUCUCAGGAAUCCUGUAACAUGAGCUUGGAUGUUCUCCACCGAGUCCCAGUGCUUUCCCUUCAACUCUCUCUUCAGUCGUGGGAACAUAAAUAGUCUGCUCCUGCACCAGGUGUAGCUCCCUGGAACUCGGCUGGAACACCUCUCAGGAAUCCUGUAACAUGAGCUUGGAUGUUCUCCACCGAGUCCCAGUGCUUUCCCUUCAACUCUCUCUUCAGUCGUGGGAACAUAAAUAGUCUGCUCCUGCACCAGGUGUAGCUCCCUGGAACUCGGCUGGAACACCUCUCAGGAACCCUGUAAGAUGAGCUUGGAUGUUCUCCACCGAGUCCCAGUGCUUUCCCUUCAACUCUCUCUUCAGUCGUGGGAACAUAAAUAGUCUGCUCCUGCACCAGGUGUAGCUCCCUGGAACUCGGCUGGAACACCUCUCAGGAAUCCUGUAACAUGAGCUUGGAUGUUCUCCACCGAGUCCCAGUGCUUUCCCUUCAACUCUCUCUUCAGUCGUGGGAACAUAAAUAGUCUGCUCCUGCACCAGGUGUAGCUCCCUGGAACUCGGCUGGAACACCUCUCAGGAAUCCUGUAACAUGAGCUUGG
rnacentral:lncRNA from 1 species